UGGGGAAUAUUGGACAAUGGGCGAAAGCCUGAUCCAGCCAUGCCGCGUGUGUGAAGAAGGUCUUCGGAUUGUAAAGCACUUUAAGUUGGGAGGAAGGGCAGUUACCUAAUACGUGAUUGUUUUGACGUUACCGACAGAAUAAGCACCGGCUAACUCUGUGCCAGCAGCCGCGGUAAUACAGAGGGUGCAAGCGUUAAUCGGAAUUACUGGGCGUAAAGCGCGCGUAGGUGGUUAGUUAAGUUGGAUGUGAAAUCCCCGGGCUCAACCUGGGAACUGCAUUCAAAACUGACUGACUAGAGUAUGGUAGAGGGUGGUGGAAUUUCCUGUGUAGCGGUGAAAUGCGUAGAUAUAGGAAGGAAUACCAGUGGCGAAGGCGACCACCUGGACUGAUACUGACACUGAGGUGCGAAAGCGUGGGGAGCAAACAGGAUUAGAUACCCAAGUAGUCCCUGAGCGGGCUGGCAAGGCGCAU
rnacentral:rRNA from 1 species